CGUGCGCACACGCCUAAUCCCGCAAGGGAGCCGGGGAACCACCAUUAUGGGGUGAAUCGGACACGAUCCGUCGUGCCCGUAGGAGACCUUCCUGCUCCGAACCCGUCAGCUAACCCGGUAGGCGAGAAGGAAGGAAAGG
rnacentral:sRNA from 1 species